GUUUACGGCCAUACCAGCCUGGGUACGCCUGAUCUCGUCUGAUCUCGGAAGCUAAGCAGGGUCGGGCCUGGUUAGUACUUGGAUGGGAGACCGCCAGGGAAUACCAGGUGCUGUAAGCU
rnacentral:rRNA from 1 species